CGAUGAUGAGCUUGUGUAUUUAUUCCGAACUAGUUAUUUAGACCCAUGUUAUGAGAUAUUCUCAAUUAAUGUCUUAAAACUGUCCUUUUAUAAAUUAAUAGUUUGAAUUAGAAUUUUUGUCGGCUGGCCUAGUAUCACGAUAGGCGCCAUCACGACCGCGUCAGCUUUAGGGUCGUGACAAGUUGGUAUCAAAGCCUAGGUUACAUAGGUCUCACGAGUCAUGAGCUGGUUUGGUAGAGUCUCCUAGAUCAGUAUGGAGACGUCUAUACUUAUCGUCGAGAGGCUGCAAAACCCUUAGGAAAAACAUCAUAUUCUUGAAUUCCUAUCGUGCAAAUCUGUUGAUUCUGGUAGCUAAAAUUCUGUUAUUCUAUUAUCUCAUAGAUGGUGAGGACACGUGCUAUCGGUCAGGAUGGACGACCACUAGUACCACCAAUUGGGG
rnacentral:lncRNA from 1 species